UUUAUUGAGUGAUGAUAUUAUUUCUCUCUUAAGAAAAAAUAGUUUCAAAUUUAUUUAUUUAUCAUUAUAUGAUCAAAUCAUGGUUCCUAAUUAUUUAGUUGAUGUCUUAUUUAAUUUUAUCUUCUUUUAGCAAACUUUAUGAAUAUGUAGUUUAUUAUAUUAGAGUAGGAAAAAUUGGUGUCAUUUAUUAAGUUACUAACUUAAUUUUAUUAUAAUUGUUUCUAGUUUUAUGCUAGUUACUAGUUAGGAAGCACACGAUCAUGUUUAUUUAUUACUAGAAAGUAUAAGAUACAACUUCUUCCAUGUUCAUAUGAUCAUGACACACCACUUUCCACCCCAUGAUUUAGUUCCACAUUUUUAGCAAGGAAGUUAGUGAGUGAGAGAGUUAUUCGGUUCCUAUUCUUUUCACACAUACCCAUUCUAUACUUUGAAGAACAAAACAAAAACAAAAUACAUAGGAAGAAAGAGAAAGAGAAGGAGAGAAAACAAACAUUCACUCUAGGGAGACAAGUAAGAAUCCUAUCAUCACUAUCACUAUUCAUGUCAAUUAUUAAUGAUAACCAAAAUCAUUCCCUAUUUUAUCGUAUAUCAUACAGGGAACACAAGUACUUUUGCUUUGUUUCAACUGCCUAGAUAUAGAAAUAAAUAGAGAAAGAUAGAGAGAAGAGAGUGAAAAAGGAAAAACAAUUUGGAAGAUGGAAGAAGGGUCGAGAGAGAUUAGAGUCCACUAUAAGAAAUUCAUCGUCACCAAGUAUGGAUGUAGUGGAACAAAGACUGCUCCUUGAGGAGUUUAAGGAUUGUUUUUGUAAAGAUGACCGUCAAUCCGUCUUUCGUCCUUGGCGGUGACGCUGGGGAGGCAAAGUGAUUUAGUAGAUGAAGACGCAAGUAAAACGGUGGCACACAUUCGGAGGCUUGAUAUAUUCCGACACUGGUAUUAACCUUGUUGAGAAAACUUUUCACAAGCAUCCAGAACUUUGACCAGCUAGGUGUAGUCUUAGGUAGGAAAAAAAGCCAAGAGCCUUGCUAUUAGGAAUAAUAUAUUUUUGAUGUAAAAUUUACUAUUUUGGAAAUUCAAAGAGAAGGUUAUUUAUUG